UAGAUUUUUAUCUCUCAGUCUCCACUUUUCUGUCUCUUUCACACAGGAAAACAAAUUGCAUCAACUACUAAAAUGAAGCAUCCUGAACCAGCUGAGCAUCCAAAGUCACACACACUGAUUGGGGGAUGAACCAUGAAGGAAAACCACAGGGUACAGUUGCAUGGAGAGUGAGCUGCACAAUGAGUUCCAAGAAAUCCGAUUUCAUCCAAAGCUGACAGAUCCAGUCCAGGUGGGAGAAUAAUGCACUGGCAGGCAGACUAGGAGCAGUGAGGUGUGGGGAAGGUAUGAUUUACAUCAUUAUCAUAGGAUCCUAGUGAAGAA
rnacentral:lncRNA from 1 species